GACGAACCGUGCGAACGUUGUUCGGAAUCACUGGGCUUAAAGGGCGCGUAGGCGGGUCAGCAAGUCCGGGGUGAAAUCUUUCAGCUCAACUGGAAAAGUGCCUUGGAUACUGCUGGUCUUGAUGGAGGUAGGGGCGUGCGGAACUUCUGGUGGAGCGGUGAAAUGCGUUGAUAUCGGAAGGAACGCCGGUGGCGAAAGCGAUGUGCUGGACCUUUAUCUGACGCUGAGGCGCUAAAGUCAGGGGAGCAAACGGG
rnacentral:rRNA from 1 species